CCGGUCUCAAGUAAGUGGGGGACAGAUGCGAACCCCUCGCGUAUACAUUGAUAUUUUCCACGGACAGACGGAUUGACGGACACGGUGUACUACUGGUGUAGAAUCGAACGGGUCGCUGAAACUGAAAGUAAAACUUCUCUGACUGUCGUUGCGCCCGGAUCUCAAUUCAUCAACCUGUUGCUUUACAAACGCGCUUUUUUUUAAUGGAGAAAUCGGAGGCUGAUGUGAGGACUGAGGUCCAUCCUCCCUCAUACAUGCUCCUGCUAACGUGCCCCUCUGGUCUCUCCCAGGCGCAGCUUUCUGUAGAUUUCAGUUCUUCAUACGACCGGAUUCCCCACCCUGACAUUUACUUGGAGAACACCAUUUCUGAGAUUUGGGAUCGACGUCUUAAAGAAAAUCCAUCUCUAUAUAAUGGCAAAAAGUUCAGGUAUGGAGGUUAUCUCUUGCAAAGUACUACUGGUUCUAACCAUGGGCCCCAUGUAUGUCUCCACCUUGGUUUGACGGAUUACAGGACAUUUGUAGGUACAAACUUAAAUCCUUUGUGGGAGAAAUUUCUUGUUCCUUCAGAAGAUGACUCCAUACGAUGUCAACACUGCUCAACUCCCUUGGGUAAUGGUGCAGUUGUAGAGACAGCCGAUAGAAGGAUCCUUGUGCUGCAAAGAAGCAAUAAUGUGGGGGAGUUUCCUGGAUACUUUGUUUUUCCUGGUGGCCAUUCAGAGCCUGAAGAAAUUGGAAUAGCAUCUCAUCAGUAUGACAAAGACUUGACAGACUCAGGACAUAUAAACAGGAAGGUUUCUCAGGAAAUGUUUGAUGGAAUUAUUCGAGAAGUAAUUGAAGAAAUUGGAGUACCCACAGCUUCUCUUAGUGAUCCAGUCUUCAUUGGUAUAUCUCGUAGGGAGUUGAAUGUUAGACCUACAGCCUUUUUCUUUCUUAAAUGUAAUCUUCAGUCAGAGAAAAUUCAGCAAUUAUAUUCUAGCGCACAAGAUGGCUAUGAGUCUACGCAGCUUUAUACUGUUUCAAGGAUCGAGUUAGAAACUAUGGAAUCAAAAAUGCCCGGCUGCCACCGAGGUGGAUUUGCUCUUUACAAGUUGAUGACAGAAGCUGUGCAAAUCUGAUAGAAUGAGGAAUCCAGAACUACUACUUUGGUCAAGGUUUUCAGUCUUAGUCAUCUCCAUGAUUCUCAUAAAGCUAUUCAUUUUGAGUAUUUUAUUGCUGUCUGUAAAGAAAUGGGAUUAUGAGGAUGUAUUGUACAGGAGAAGUCAUCUUGAGGCAUGCAUAAUGGUGGUGCACAUGCAAGAGGGUAAUUAAUGGUAUGCAAUUUUGACCUAGGUCUCAUUGAUAGGCCCAUUGAAUGAUGAUUUCAAACUCCAAAAUUUUCAGUCACAUCUCGCGUGCACUACCAACAUUGAGGGAAGCUAUUCUUGUCACCAUCAUUAGUUUACCUCUUGUUAUUUAUUUAUUAAUCAGAUUGCUUGUACUUCAUUCUAUUAUAUGCAAAAUCUGUAACUGGUAUUGAGGCCAUGAUUUUGUUGA